UGGACGAAAGUCUGAUGGAGCAACGCCGCGUGAGUGAAGAAGGGUUUCGGCUCGUAAAGCUCUGUUGGUAGUGAAAGAAAGAUAGAGGUAGUAACUGGCCUUUAUUUGACGGUAAUUACUUAGAAAGUCACGGCUAACUACGUGCC
rnacentral:rRNA from 1 species